rnacentral:rRNA from 1 species
GACGUAGGGCGCGAGCGUUGUCCGGAUUUAUUGGGCGUAAAGAGCUCGUAGGCGGCUCGUUGCGUCGGCUGUGAAAACCCGCAGCUCAACUGUGGGCUUGCAGCUGAUACGGGCGGGCUGGGAUUCGGUAGGGGAGACUGGAAUUCCUGGUGUAGCGGUGAAAUGACGCAGAUAUCAGGAGGAACACCGGUGGCGAAGGCGGGUCUCUGGGCCGAUAUCGACGCUGAGGAGCGAAAGCGUGGGGAGCGAACAGG